CCAUGGGAACCAGGAAGGCCCCGUCUGCCCAGUGACUUCGGGGGCACUGGGAAUUUUGUUCAUUUCACCAUCAGUAAGCGACACAUUUAUGAACGACUUUUUCAUUGGAGGGAGUUUUUACCUGCAAAAAAGACCGUUCCAUGGACUCUUGCCAACUUUCCUGACAUGUCUGCUGCAGCUUAUAGAUGUUUCUGUGAAGCUGCCUGUACCUUUCCUUACCCUUCGUUCCUAAGAGCGCAGCAAGUAUGAAAACUGCCAGGAUGCCUCGGAGUUGCUACCAUCUUCUCCGUCACUUUCUGCCCCUCUGCCACCCCAUCCCUCCUUUCCCUGAAGGAAGACAAGGUCAGAAACUGCCCAGAGCUGUCAUCAUCAUCAGAAUCCAACAGAGAAACACCGACAACACCAGUACAAAAGCCGAGAUCAAGCACUAAGGACUGUGCCCCUCAUGAAAGAGGAGACCAAGAACAGCACCCCUUUUGGUGAGAAGAUCAAAAGCCAAAGGAGAAUGAACUAUUAACCCCCUUAGCAAAAAUGUAUUCAUUUAAUUCAGUAUCAUCAUUUCUGUUAUUUUAUCCCCUGUAAUUAAGUCUCAAAUGCUUUUCUGUUACUGUUAAUUCAGCUUAAUAAUGUUCAUUCUGUUUUUGUAAACCAUUAAAUCAUAUUCCCGAGAAUCCUCUUGUUUUAACC